AGUCAAUAGAUACCCCGGUAGUCCACGCCGUAAACGAUGAGUACUAGGUGUAGGAGGUAUCGACUCCUUCUGUGCCGCAGUUAAACACAAUAAGUACUCCGCCUGGGAAGUACGGUCGCAAGGUUAAAACUCAAAGGAAUUAACGGGGGCCCGCACAAGCAGCGGAGCAUGUGGUUUAAUUCGAAGCAACGCGAAGAACCUUACCUAGACUUGACAUCUUCUGAAUAGCGCAGAGAUGCGUGAAGCCCUUCGGGGCAGGAAGACAGGUGGUGCAUGGUUGUCGUCAGCUCGUGUCGUGAGAUGUUGGGUUAAGUCCCGCAACGAGCGCAACCCCUAUUAUUAGUUGCUACCAUUAAGUUGAGCACUCUAAUGAGACUGCCCGGGUUAACCGGGAGGAAGGCGGGGAUGACGUCAAAUCAUCAUGCCCCUUAUGUCUAGGGCUACACACGUGCUACAAUGGUGAGAACAACGAGAUGCAAUACCGCGAGGUGAGCAAAACUUGAAAACUCAUCUCAGUUCGGAUUGUAGGCUGAAAC
rnacentral:rRNA from 1 species